GCCGCGAGGUGGAGCAAACCCCAGAAAUAACGUCCCAGUUCGGACUGCAGCCUGCAACUCGGCUGCACGAAGCCGGAAUCGCUAGUAAUCGCGGAUCAGAAUGCCGCGGUGAAUACGUUCCCGGGUCUUGUACACACCGCCCGUCACACCAUGGGAGUCGGAAAUGCCCGAAGUCUGUGACCCAACCUUAGGGAGGGAGCAGCCGAAGGCAGGUCGGAUGACUGGGGUGAAGUCGUAACAAGGUAGC
rnacentral:rRNA from 1 species